rnacentral:rRNA from 1 species
ACUCUAGGGAUAACAGGCUGAUCUAGAACAAGAGAUCAUAUCGACUUCUAGGUUUGGCACCUCGAUGUCGGCUCAUCACAUCCUGGAGCGGUAGUACGUUCCAAGGGUUGGGCUGUUCGCCCAUUAAAGUGGUACGUGAGCUGGGUUCAAAACGUCGUGAGACAGUUUGGUCCAUAUCCGGUAUUGACGUUAGAGUAUUGAGAGAACCCGCGGCUAGUACGAGAGGAUUGCCGUGGACAUACCUAUGGUGUAUCUGUUGUUUUUCCAAAAGCAUACGCAGAGUAGCUAUGUAUGGAGCAGCUAAGAGCUGAAAGCAUAUAAGUUCCAAUCUCAUCUCAAGAUGAAUACUCUCU